rnacentral:rRNA from 1 species
AUGGAAUUAAGGAUGCCUCAUAUGCUUCAUCUUUUUAAUGUCUUUCGUGAAAACGAUGGAAAGGAAAAUUAUGCUCAAGUACUAGAAGAAGAAUUACAUAGAAUGCUUGGCAUAAAAUAUGUGAAUGAUGAGCAUGAUUGCAAUGUUGUUAGUAUGAAUUCCUUGAAUAUCCAUGAUGCUAAUGAUAUGCAAAGCCACAAGCUUGGGGAAGCUAUGUUUGAUGAAGAUGAUAUUUUUUGCCCCCCAAACUUUGAUGAGCAAAUUUACUAUGAUGAAAGCAUGCCUCCUAUCUAUGAUGAUUAUUGUGAUGACACGUAUGCUUUAAAGAAUAAUGAUAACCAUGAAACUUGUCAUCUUGAUCUUAAUUUUCAAUCACAUGAUAGUUAUUUUGUUGAGUUUGCUCCCACUAUUAUUGAUGAGAAGAAAAUUUGCUUAUGUGGAGAGUAA